rnacentral:rRNA from 1 species
CCUACGGGGUGCAGCAGUGAGGAAUAUUGGUCAAUGGACGAGAGUCUGAACCAGCCAAGUAGCGUGAAGGAUGACUGCCCUAUGGGUUGUAAACUUCUUUUAUAUGGGAAUAAAAUGUUCCACGUGUGGGAUUUUGUAUGUACCAUAUGAAUAAGGAUCGGCUAACUCCGUGCCAGCAGCCGCGGUAAUACGGAGGAUCCGAGCGUUAUCCGGAUUUAUUGGGUUUAAAGGGAGCGUAGGUGGAUUGUUAAGUCAGUUGUGAAAGUUUGCGGCUCAACCGUAAAAUUGCAGUUGAAACUGGCAGUCUUGAGUACAGUAGAGGUGGGCGGAAUUCGUGGUGUAGCGGUGAAAUGCUUAGAUAUCACGAAGAACUCCGAUUGCGAAGGCAGUUCACUUGACUGCAACUGACACUGAGGCUCGAAAGUGUGGGUAUCAAACAGGAUUAGAUACCCCAGUAGUC